rnacentral:lncRNA from 1 species
AAUAAUUGCACUUCACAAAAGGAACUAGCUAGUUACUCACUAGAUAUUCAUUAACACAAGAUACUCAUCAACUUAACAAGUUAAUUAAACUUCACAAAAGUUACUCAUCAACUCAAGAUGGACUAGAUAGUUAAAGAACUACUCUUCAUCAAGGAUUACGAUCAGGUGGCGAAGCUUCUUUCUAUUGCCCUCUCCAUCUUUUUUGAAAUGAUCUAUGUCCACCUUGAGCUCAUUCCUCUCUACCCCGAGGAGUUUUCUCUCCUGCUUCAUCUCAACCCUCUCCUCGAUCAGCUUAUCCCUCUCGUCCCUCAGCUUAUUAGUAUUUUGAAUGAGUUGAACACUCUUGUUGCGCAGCUCUUUAAUCUCCGCCUUUAGAGAGGCAUUCACCUCUUGCAGACUGUUGAUGGUAUACCGAUGAAUCUCUAAGAGAUCUUUGUUGAGCACGUCCACAUAGUACACCUCCUCGUUGUUGCCUCCGGAAUUGACCAUGACCUAACAAAUAAAUAAUUUGUUAGACAAAGUAGUUCAACAUAUGAACUCAUAAGGUUUAAAAAAACAUAUGCACUCAUAAUUAUUUAACACAUGGCAGUUUCUACACAUACAAUUGAACUAGCAUCCAUUAAAAGAAUGAACUAGCAUGCCACACUUUUUCAGUCACAUAGCCCACUUUGGCCAAUUUGGCCACCACAAAAAUUGUGGCAGCAUGCCACACUUGUGGCACACAAGUGUGGAUGGCAACCAAACAUGCUAUGUCUAUCAAAAUGCCUAGAGCGUGAUUUUGCACUGAUUUGGCAGUACUUCAACAUGUGUAUCAAAAUGCCUAGAGCAAACACAAACUAUAUAUCCAACACAUAUGGCAGUUUCAACAAAUGCAAAUUAUCCAUCUAUUCAAAUUAUCAUGGACUACCAAACUCCUAAUCUGGCCUACUCACUUCACAUUGUUGAUUCUAUUCAUUUGGCCUACUCACUUCACAUUGUAGUUUCUAACAAACUCCUAAUCUUCCCUACCUAGCCAAAUUAUCCAAACUAAAACCCUACUCACCAACGAUUUGUAAUCAAUGCCUUGGAGGGGAUGAAAUCACCGUCGAUUUGUAGUCAAUGCCAUGGAGGGGAUGAACCCUAGCAGCCAGUCACCACCGUUGCUGAAACC